AGUGAACGCUGGCGGUAGGCCUAACACAUGCAAGUCGAACGGCAGCACAGUAAGAGCUUGCUCUUACGGGUGGCGAGUGGCGGACGGGUGAGGAAUACAUCGGAAUCUACUUUUUCGUGGGGGAUAACGUAGGGAAACUUACGCUAAUACCGCAUACGACCUACGGGUGAAAGCAGGGGAUCUUCGGACCUUGCGCGAUUGAAUGAGCCGAUGUCGGAUUAGCUAGUUGGCGGGGUAAAGGCCCACCAAGGCGACGAUCCGUAGCUGGUCUGAGAGGAUGAUCAGCCACACUGGAACUGAGACACGGUCCAGACUCCUACGGGAGGCAGCAGUGGGGAAUAUUGGACAAUGGGCGCAAGCCUGAUCCAGCCAUACCGCGUGGGUGCAGAAGGCCUUCGGGUUGUAAAGCCCUUUUGUUGGGAAAGAAAAGAAGCAGGUUAAUACCCCGCUGUUCUGACGGUACCCAAAGAAUAAGCACCGGCUAACUUCGUG
rnacentral:rRNA from 1 species